rnacentral:rRNA from 1 species
AACGCGAAGAACCUUACCCGGUCUUGACAUCCACAGGAGUCUGCAGAGAUGCGGAUGUGCCUUCGGGAGCUGUAAGACAGGUGCUGCAUGGCUGUCGUCAGCUCGUGUUGUGAAAUGUUGGGUUAAGUCCCGCAACGAGCGCAACCCUUAUCCUCUGUUGCCAGCACGUAAUGGUGGGAACUCAGGGGAGACUGCCGGUGAUAAACCGGAGGAAGGUGGGGACGACGUCAAGUCAUCAUGGCCCUUACGGCCGGGGCUACACACGUGCUACAAUGGCGCAUACAAAGAGAAGCGACCUCGCGAGAGCAAGCGGAACUCAUAAAGUGCGUCAAAGUCCGGACUGGAGUCUGCAACCCGACUCCACG